UACGAAGGGGGCGAGCGUUGUUCGGAAUUACUGGGCGUAAAGCGUGCGCAGGCGGUUUUGUAAGCCAGAUGUGAAAUCCCCGGGCUUAACCUGGGAAUGGCAUUUGGGACUGCAAAGCUUGAGUGCGGCAGAGGGGACUGGGAAUUCCUGGUGUAGCAGUGAAAUGCGUAGAGAUCAGGAGGAAUACCGAUGGCGAAGGCAGGUCCCUGGGCUGACACUGACGCUCAUGCACGAAAGCGUGGGGAGCAAACAGG
rnacentral:rRNA from 1 species